rnacentral:rRNA from 1 species
CGGAUUGCAGCUGCAACUCGGCUGCAUGAAGCUGGAAUCGCUAGUAAUCGCAGAUCAGAAUGCUGCGGUGAAUACGUUCCCGGGUCUUGUACACACCGCCCGUCACACCAUGGGAGUUGGAAAUGCCCGAAGUCAGUGACCGAACCGAAAGGAAGGAGCUGCCGAAGGUGGAGCCGAUGACUGGGGUGAAGUCGUAACAAGGUAGC